rnacentral:rRNA from 1 species
UACGUAGGCAGCGAGCGUUGUUCGGAAUUACUGGGCGUAAAGAGUGUGUAGGCGGUGCUCUAAGUUCGGUGUGAAAUCUCCCGGCUCAACUGGGAGGGUGCGCCGGAAACUGGAGUGCUUGAGCGUGGGAGAGGAAAGCGGAAUUCCUGGUGUAGCGGUGAAAUGCGUAGAUAUCAGGAGGAACACCGGUGGCGAAGGCGGUUCUCUGGGCAUGUCCUGACGCUGAGGAGCGAAAGUGUGGGGAGCGAACAGG